CUACGGAGGAUGCGAGCGUUAUCCGGAUUUAUUGGGUUUAAAGGGUGCGUAGGUGGUUAAUUAAGUCAGCGGUGAAAGUUUGUGGCUCAACCAUAAAAUUGCCGUUGAAACUGGUUGACUUGAGUAUAUUUGAGGUAGGCGGAAUGCGUGGUGUAGCGGUGAAAUGCAUAGAUAUCACGCAGAACUCCGAUUGCGAAGGCAGCUUACUAAACUAUAACUGACACUGAAGCACGAAAGCGUGGGGAUCAAACAGGAUUAGAUACCCUGGUAGUCCACGCAGUAAACGAUGAUUACUAGCUGUUUGCGAUACACAGUAAGCGGCACAGCGAAAGCGUUAAGUAAUCCACCUGGGGAGUACGCCGGCAACGGUGAAACUCAAAUGAAUUGACGGGG
rnacentral:rRNA from 1 species